rnacentral:lncRNA from 12 species
UGGGGCCAGGGAUAAUGAUUUGCCAUAAAAUGAGGCUGAAGUGAACUCGACCCUCUGCACCUGGGGUCAAACAGUCAAAUCAGAACUUGCCCCCAGAGGGGCUGAUGGGAAGAACCCACACGAUUAGGCUCCAAUCUUGGACGUUAGGGUCCACGUUUCCACAGAGCAUAAUUCAAAGUUGACCUCAGGGAGCCAAAGCCCCAGACCAGCGGGGCCUGAGGUUCAGGAGGCGUCCGAGGGAGACCUGCUGAGUGUCGCUCAUAUCCCGGGCACGGAGUCCCCAGCCUCGCGCCAGGGCCUGGUCCGCUCGUCGUGACCAGCGGGGCACGGAGCCCUCAGCCUCUUGGCGGGCCGGCUCUCCCGAACUUUCUGGGCGAUCACUCUGGGGAGGAUAUUAGCUAUUAAUUAGUGCCCUUAAAUAGUGGCUUUGAACUUUUGGAAUUCAAAUUAAUUGAUGGUCUAACAGAACGCCACGUAAUUUUUACAGCAUCGAGUCUCUUUUUCCCUAGGAUUAAUCUAACUUCGUUCUUCCCGUCAUGUUCUCCCGGGCUUGCGUCUUUCCAGCAGCCGACUGCACUUCUCUUUUGAGCUUUGAACCAUGCCCCAGCGGAUCAGUAGUUUCAUUUAGGUAAACAGUUUCCAGAAAUAGAUUGGAGCUGCGAGCAAACAGCUUGUUUGUGAUAACAGGCCCUGCCUGCCGGCCGAUGUCUGAGCCUAAUGCUCUCACGUCGGCGGGCGCCGGGAGCCGACGUCCCCGCUUUGUCAACCGUCCCACAGAUGCGGUGCCUCGUCUCAAGGCUAACUGCUCCCCUGAGUCUGACACACCGACUUCGUGCUUCAAAAAAGGGAGAUUAAGCAAAGAAAGGCCAAGACGUUAGUCACACACACAUGCCCAUAGAAACCUCAAUAAACUGGACGUGAGUGAGAAAGUUGAAACGAUG